AGCUCGGGACCGGACGGUUGCCGGUUAAUCGAUUUGCACGGAUAAUGGUCCAAGAUAUGUCAAACGCAUAUAAAACAUAUGAAAUUCACUAGUGUUAUUAUUAAUUCACCUAGAAUCAAUCGAUUAAUCGUUAGUAGAAUAUUAUUUUAAUCAAUAACUGCAGGUUUAACAACUGUUCAUGAACAAAAAUGAAUUUCGAAAAUACCCCUAGACCUAGACAGAGCUGCACAAGAAACUGGUUACCCAAUUGAUUAUCGCUGCAAAUGUUCGCCGUACGUAUGAACAGCUGUCAGAUUUAUGCGCACGGUUAAACCGCCCGCCGGUUAAUCCGUCCAAGGAUAAUCGACGUUCUACUGUAUUGCUAUUUUCAAUAAUACACAUCAAUAUAAAAUUUGCACUAUACAAGACUAUACACAUUUAUUAAAAUUAUGAUCAAAGCGUGAUAUGUUUUGUAAAUUAUCGAGUGAUGUUAUUUUACUUCAAUUUAUGCUUUGUUAUGGAAGAGUAAUAACAUUCAACUCAACUAGCGUUUAUAAACAUUCGCGAGUGAAAUCAUUUUCUGUCAAUUCGGAUGGGUGGGAAACAACUACAACAACAAUUUUCCACAACCAAACGCAUUCCGAAAAUAUCGCUUCAAAAGAGGUUUCAUGCUGUCGUGGCUGUGCUGUUCCAAAAACAUAAUAGUGCUAAUUCGUGAAUUUUAUUGCACACAGUGUUUCAAUAUAACCGAAAUCAUUGGAUGCUGUUUGUGAAGAUCGAUUGUGUUAUCAUUUUACAAGCAAAACUCAUAUAUUAUUACGGACAUGGAGCCCAAUACAAGUGCAGCUGCAUGACGUGUUGUAAAAACCACAUCCGAUAGCGACAGGAAGCGGGUCAUAACGGCGUAUGAAAAUGGCACAGCUCCAUCAGCAAUAAUCACUCUCAUUCCAAACGUCACUGUGACUGGUCGAAGAUUCUCUGCGCUCCGAUUAUUUUCAAUAUUACUCCGAGAAAACCUGUAUCUUUGCUGAACCUGUUGCUGUUGUAGGUCACUUCAUUGGCUGGUUUUGUUUAACAACUGGAUUAUUCACCGUCAAUCACCUGGAAACGUUUUUCCGGCCCACAAUCAUUACGUCGCUUCAACAUCACAAUCAAUCGCUCAUCCACAAAGCAAUGGCUGGUAUUUGUUCCGCCUGCGCUAACGACAUCGUAGCUGCUGAUCGCAUUGUGAAAUGCCAGGGUUGGUGCAACUCUGAGUUUCACUUCUCAUGCAGCGGACUUUCUGAGGAACUGUCCGCUACUAUAGAGUGCCUGUGCACAGCUUUUUUGGGCCUGUAAAGCCUGUGUAAAGUUUCACAAGGAUCCGCGUACGGCCGUGUUGAGGUCAUACACCCCGUACACUCACACUUCUGUCGAGCUACUGCCCAGCAUAGCCGACCUUAAAGCGGGCCUCCGUAGCGAGCUGUCACAGCAUACCACAGCCAUUAAGUUAGAGCUUCUGGAAGUUUUAAAGGCGGAGAUCCGCUCCUGCUUGCGAUCAUCGCAUGCCGCCACCGAUUUACCGUCUCAACGGCCCAUUCAUCACAAUUCAGCGCCUAAAUUGUUUAAUUCAGUGGUCAAAAAUAUCCCUGGUACUAUUACACCCACACUACAACAGUAUCCAUCAUUAGCCGCUUCUCUUAGUGUGAGUGCGAACGAUCCGUCAUCCUUCACCAAUAUGCCACCAGUUUACAACCCGCAAACACCACUACUCAGAGGAUCGGGAUCGCCGCUCGAUUCUGACACACUAGACACCAUCCCACACACUGAUACGCGAAUGUGACUAUUCUUUACGCGUUUCUCCCCAUCGGUUACCACUGAGCAGAUUUAUCUCAUGGUGCAAGUACGUCUAGCACUCGAUAAGCGGGAUGUGUUUGUACACCGUCUGACGAAGCUUGGUGCCGACACUAGUACACUCUCAUUUAUCUCAUUUAAGGUGGGCAUACCAGCCACUCUACGCAACAAGGCUCUCUCACCUAAGACAUGGCCCUCUACUCUUUCCUACCGAGAGUUCCGUGACUAUCGGACUAAUAAUUAUAACACUAAUACCUGUGCAACAAUUGAAACAAAUUCGAUGCUCGAUCAAAACGUUACUCUCGCUACCGACACUUAUCAUAAUCCUCUCUCACAUUCUGGAGGGAGUGCCGCGAUGCCAACUACUACAACAGAUACUACAACAACAAGUACAACAGAUACGCUCGCACAGCCCGUUACGAUUUCCUCACCUGCCAUGACCACUACAGUCACAGCUUUGUUUACAAACGAACCACAUCCUGACCUUAAUGAGCGAAUGCUUGUUUCCACCACACCUACCAGGUCACCUCCCGAAUGCUUAGCCGCUCCUAAAAAACGACCGAAGCGAAACGCUAAACGGACUGAUGAAUCUGCUGACGCUGGCCCGUCGAAUGAAUAGCAAUCUUGCACUGCAUCCGGCGAUGCACCUCGUUCAGCUCAUCCCAGUCUCUCUAUCUACUACCAAAAUGUGCGUGGUCUACGAACGAAAACUACAAA